UACGGAGGGUGCAAGCGUUAUCCGGAUUCACUGGGUUUAAAGGGUGCGUAGGUGGGCAGGUAAGUCAGUGGUGAAAUCUCCGGGCUUAACCCGGAAACUGCCAUUGAUACUAUCAGUCUUGAAUACCGUGGAGGUAAGCGGAAUAUGUCAUGUAGUGGUGAAAUGCUUAGAUAUGACAUAGAACACCAAUUGCGAAGGCAGCUUACUACCCGAAUAUUGACACUGAGGCACGAAAGCGUGGGGAUCAAACAGG
rnacentral:rRNA from 1 species